CGGAGAGGGAGCAUGAGAAACGGCUACCACAUCUAAGGAAGGCAGCAGGCGCGUAAAUUACCCACUCCUGACUCAGGGAGGUAGUGACAAGAAAUAUCGGCCUUGGAGAAAUCCAAGAACGGAAUGGGUUUAAUGUAAAGACCUUUACGAGGAACAAUUGGAGGGCAAGUCUGGUGCCAGCAGCCGCGGUAAUUCCAGCUCCAAUAGCAUAUAUUAAAGUUGUUGCAGUUAAAAAGCUCGUAGUUGGAUAUCUGAAGGGAUUUUUCGCUUCCCUCUGGUCGUGGAAAAUCCUCUUCAUCCGCCUGUUAACUUAUAUGCUACCCUGUAGUGUAUAGGAGCUCAGGCAUUUUACCUUGAGAAAAUUAGAGUGUUUCAGGCAGGCUAGGCCGGAAUAUAUUAGCAUGGAAUAAUAGAAUUGACACAAGUCUGUGGUCGCAGAUGAGUGUAAUGGUUAAUA
rnacentral:rRNA from 1 species